rnacentral:lncRNA from 1 species
UUUUUUUUUUUUUUUUGAGACAGGGUUUCUCUGUGUAGCCCUUGGCUGUCCUAGAACUCACUCUGUAGACCAGCUUCACAUUAAAUUUUAUACUUUAAGGGGCUCAGCGGUUAAGAUUUUCCAUAGGAAAAGCGUCUGCUUUUCCAUAGGUCCUGAGUUCAAUUCCCAGCAACCACAUGGUGGCUCACAACCAUCUGUAAAGGGAUCUGAUGCCCUCUUCUGGUGUGUCUGAAGACAGCUACAGUGAACUCCUAUACAGGGAAAAAAAAAAAGGUUGAGUGCUGGAGGUGAACUCCAGUUUUACAGGAGAGCAGCAAAAGCAGGUGGCGGUGGCAACACACGCCUGUAGUUCCCAGUGCUUGGGAAGCAGAGACGAAAAGAUUUUUGUGAGUUUGAGGCCAGCAUGGUUUACAAAGCAAGUCUAUGACAGCCAAUACUACACAGACAAAGACAUGUUGAGAAAAAAACAAUUAAAGCUGAGAGUAGUAGCACUGCCUUUUAAGUUGGCAACACUCCCUGGGUGGGUUACAGGACAGCGAGUGGUAAUGUGGACAGAGAGAGGUGUUCGCCCUUAUACAGUCUUAGAUGUCACACAGGAAUUCCUGUGCUGCAUUUGCAGAAAGUUAUUUCAAGCUAAGAAGGGUUUUAUUGCACUUCAUUUUUUAAAUUUAUCUUUAUUUUAUGUGUAUGAGUGUUUUGUCUACAUGUAUGUGUGUGUGUUAUGUGCCUAUGAGUUUGGAGAAAAAAAACCUUAGUGUCUUGCUCAGGUUACCGUCUCACUGGUGGUGAUCCUAUUGCUUCAGUCUCGUGAUAGCUGGCAUUAUCACGGCUGUGCCAUGCCAGAUCCUCACUUUUUAAAAAAUAUUUUUAUUUAUUAUGUAUAGAUAUAGAUAUCUCUAUAUAUGAAUGAGUAUCCUGUAGUUAUCUUCAGACACACCAGAAGAGGGCAUCAAAUCCCAUUUACAGGUGGUGGUGAGCCAUCAUGUAAUUGCUGGGAAUUAAACUCAGGACCUCUAGAAGAGCAAUCAGUGCUCUUAACCCCUGAGCCCCCUCCCUUUUUUUUUUUUUUUUUGGCAGCUUAUUUUUAAUUGUUUUAAAUCACGUAUAUGUUUCUGUAUGUAGCUAUGUUCACAUAAGCGCAGGCACUCAUAGAGGUCAGAGAUGUAAGAUGCCUUUGGAGCUGGACUUAAACAUGGUUGUGAGCCAUCUGAUAUGAGCACCAAGUGGACUUGGGUCCUCUGGACCGCCUUGCUGCCUUCCACCUAGAAUUACAGUAUAUGCAAUUAGCUGCUCAGCCACCCCCUCAGUCCUCCUUAGUACUUUCAACAUAGUGUAAAUCGGAGAGCACUCCUUGGUGCAAAGAUUCUGUGUGUUCUAUCAUUCUCUACACCCAGGCUUCAUUGGGACGUGUGAUGCCAGCGAUGAUUCAUUGGCGUGAAGUAUGAGUUAGAGUCAGACAAUCAGUGCUCUCUGCUCUGAGUGGGUCUCCCUGCCCCUGUGUCUCUGAGACAGGGGAGGAUUCUCCUGUUGGAUCACAUAGUGCAUAGAGCCCUGUGUGCACAGCGCUCUCAACCAUUUGUUGCCAUUUCAAAUACAGUGACUUCAGAGUCUUCCUUGAAAUAACAGAUUUCUCCAUUUUGUUUGUUCCCUUCUUUCGUCACAAAGACCUGAGGAUGAGAUGUUUUUGAAGGAACUUUCUAGUAGUUACUCGGUGGAAAAGGACAAUGAUGCUCCCCUCUUCUACAGAGAAGAAGGAAACAGGAAAUUCCAAGAAAAGGAGUACACAGAUGCUGCAGUGCUGUACUCUAAGGUAACGUGCGUCCAACCAGCAGUUGAACAAGGCGGAAGAUAGAGGCAAAGUGCAGACUCAUAACCAGUCCAUUGUUUUGCUUUGGUUAGUUGGGUUGGUUGGUUUGUUUGUUUGUUUGUUUCUUCUUCUUUAUUAGUCGGAUUGGAUUUGGGAAAAAUGUAGUAGAAUUCUAUUGUUGAUUAUAUUCACAAACAAAAGACUGUUUAUAUGUCCUGAAUUUUGGCAAGAUUCUUCCCAUAUUCCUUCAGACCCAUAGCAGCAGCAAGCUUAGUGGCCCUUUGCCAGGUAUUCUCACUGAGCUGUACAGCAUUUGUCUGAAGAACUGAUGAACAUUUUAGCUUAUGCUCCUAUGUUAGUAAAUAGCUAGGUUUUUAGCUAGCCACCUUGCUAGCUUACAACUAGAAUGCCUCUGGCUGAGUUUGGUGGCACUUGCCUUUAGUUCCAGCACUCAGGAGGCAGAAGCAGGUGAAUCUCUGAGUUCAAGGCAGCCUGGUCUACAUAACAAGUUCCAGCCUGGCCAGGGAUAUGUAGUAAGACUCUGUCUCAAUAAAGUAAACAGCCAGAAUGACUUAAAUAUUGC